GAAUACCGGAGAAUGUUAUCACGGGAGACACACGGCGGGUGCUAACGUCCGUCGUGAAGAGGGAAACAACCCAGACCGCCAGCUAAGGUCCCAAAGUCAUGGUUAAGUGGGAAACGAUGUGGGAAGGCCCAGACAGCCAGGAUGUUGGCUUAGAAGCAGCCAUCAUUUAAAGAAAGCGUAAUAGCUCACUGGUCGAGUCGGCCUGCGCGGAAGAUGUAACGGGGCUAAACCAUGCACCGAAGCUGCGGCAGCGACACUAUGUGUUGUUGGGUAGGGGAGCGUUCUGUAAGCCUGUGAAGGUGUACUGUGAGGUAUGCUGGAGGUAUCAGAAGUGCGAAUGCUGACAUAAGUAACGAUAAAGCGGGUGAAAAGCCCGCUCGCCGGAAGACCAAGGGUUCCUGUCCAACGUUAAUCGGGGCAGGGUGAGUCGACCCCUAAGGCGAGGCCGAAAGGCGUAGUCGAUGGGAAACAGGUUAAUAUUCCUGUACUUGGUGUUACUGCGAAGGGGGGACGGAGAAGGCUAUGUUGGCCGGGCGACGGUUGUCCCGGUUUAAGCGUGUAGGCUGGUUUUCCAGGCAAAUCCGGAAAAUCAAGGCUGAGGCGUGAUGACGAGGCACUACGGUGCUGAAGCAACAAAUGCCCUGCUUCCAGGAAAAGCCUCUAAGCAUCAGGUAACAUCAAAUCGUACCCCAAACCGACACAGGUGGUCAGGUAGAGAAUACCAAGGCGCUUGAGAGAACUCGGGUGAAGGAACUAGGCAAAAUGGUGCCGUAACUUCGGGAGAAGGCACGCUGAUAUGUAGGUGAAGUCCCUCGCGGAUGGAGCUGAAAUCAGUCGAAGAUACCAGCUGGCUGCAACUGUUUAUUAAAAACACAGCACUGUGCAAACACGAAAGUGGACGUAUACGGUGUGACGCCUGCCCGGUGCCGGAAGGUUAAUUGAUGGGGUUAGCCGCAA
rnacentral:rRNA from 1 species